UACGGGGGGGGCAAGCGUUGUUCGGAAUUACUGGGCGUAAAGGGCUCGUAGGUGGCCAACUAAGUCAGACGUGAAAUCCCUCGGCUUAACCGGGGAACUGCGUCUGAUACUGGAUGGCUUGAGUUUGGGAGAGGGACGCGGAAUUCCAGGUGUAGCGGUGAAAUGCGUAGAUAUUGGGAAGAACACCAGUGGCGAAGGCGGUUCUCUGGGACGGUACUGACGCUGAGACGCGAAAGCGUGGGGAGCGAACAGG
rnacentral:rRNA from 1 species